GCCUAGUUAGCUUAGUUGGUAGUGCGCUAGUGCGUCUGCCUUGUAAGCGCUAGGCCGCGGGUUCGAUUCCCGCCCGGGGCG
rnacentral:tRNA from 1 species